rnacentral:rRNA from 1 species
GACGAACGCUGGCGGCGUGCUUAACACAUGCAAGUCGAACGAUGACGACCGAGCUUGCUCGGUCUGAUUAGUGGCGAACGGGUGAGUAACACGUGAGCAACCCGCCCUUCACUCUGGGAUAACCUCGGGAAAUCGGGGCUAAUACCGGAUAUGAGCUCCUGUCGCAUGGCGGGUGUUGGAAAGUUUUUCGGUGAAGGAUGGGCUCGCGGCCUAUCAGUUUGUUGGUGAGGUAGUGGCUCACCAAGGCGAUGACGGGUAGCCGGCCUGAGAGGGCGACCGGCCACACUGGGACUGAGACACGGCCCAGACUCCUACGGGAGGCAGCAGUGGGGAAUAUUGCACAAUGGGCGAAAGCCUGAUGCAGCGACGCCGCGUGAGGGAUGACGGCCUUCGGGCUGUAAACCUCUUUCAGCAGGGAAGAAGCGAAAGUGACGGUACCUGCAGAAGAAGCGCCGGCUAACUACGUG